GUCCGGCAGCGCCUGCCCAGGUGUGCUACGAGCGUAGCUGUAGCAACGGGGCGGGCCUUGGUUCGCCUGGGGCGUGGUCGCUGUCUGGGGCUCCCACGUGGUUCGCCUCAUGGGCCUGGAGCUGGGCUUCUCUCGCCUCCUGUCGUCUGGCUGCACCGACUUUGCCCACGCCCUCACGGGAGACGCAGACACUAGGGACCCGGGGAGGCGCCCGGGCGGGGCCGCCAUGUUGGCAGAGAGUCCCAGCGUCCCGCGCCUCGGUUCCGGAACCCGCGGCGCGGGGAUGGAGCUGGGCUGCCCUUGGGCGCCGUCCUGGGCUGGUGCCCACCCUGGCCGCGUGGUCACCGGCAAGAAGCCCAGGGCCUCACCCAGGCGUGGGGGCCGGGGGAAGGACCGGACCCUCCCGAAGUCGCGGACCAGGCCGGGCGGCACCCGGGCUGGGGUGGCUGCUACCCCGAGCUAAGCUGGCUGCGCCGCAUCUCACGGUCCCCGGGGCCCGAGCGCUGCGCCUGGACCGGCGCCGAGCGAGGCGGCCAAUCGGCCGGCUGGACCCACAGUCCCCGCGCCAUAGGCGGGUCGGGGCUUUCAGACCCGGCUCCCAGCCCUCGAACUCGGUAACCUUGGAGGUCAGCUUGAGAUGACUGCGCUUCCUGCACGCGUUGUCCUCCCCAGAAACGCCCAAAAUGGCAAAGCGGCGUCCGUGGCCGCCCGAGGCCCUCCCUGCCUGGGUUCUCCCCAGCCGAACCUCACGCCCGGCCCCUCCUUCAUUCUCUCCUGGCCAGGCUGCUCCUGCCCUUGGGCGAAUCCGCUGCGUCCCACGGUCCUGACUGUGGCAUUUCUGCGUGUCUGGAGAGCUCCCCCGGCAGCGACGUCCUGCUUAGCACGUGGCUCGUCUAACUCUGUUCCCCUGGCCUCCUGCUCUUCUAGGGGUCAUCUUUAGGUUUCUGCUGGUCUCUGCCCCCUGUGACACUUGCUGGUACCCAAAUGAAGUCGUUUAUGUCACACUCUAACAAGAGGCCCUGAAGAAGCCCUCACAAAAACAUUAGCAACGGAGCGCCUGCGGCAAACCCUUCUAACCUUUGGUCUUUAUGGUUUCAAAGCAGUUUAUGGGAACUUCUCUUUUUUAAAAGAUUCCCCUUGGGGCCAGGCGCGGUGGCUUCUGUAAUCCCAGGACUUUGGGAGGCCGAGGCAGGUGGAUCACUUGAGGUCAGGAGUUCAAGACUAGCCUGGCCAACAUGGUGAGACACCCGUCUCUACAAAAAACACAAAAAAAUUAGCAGGGCAUGGUUGGUGGCAGGCACCUGUAGUCCCAGCUACACGGGAGGCUUAGGCAGGAGAAUUCCUUGAACCCAGGAGGUGGAGGUUGCAGUGAGCCGAGAUGGCACCACUGCACUCCAGCCUGGGCAACAGAGCAAGACUCUGUCUCAAAAAAAAAAAAAAAAAAAAAAAAGAAAUUUCCCGUGGGCGGGGCACAGUGACUCAUGCCUGUAGUAAUCCCAGCACUUUUGGAGGCCAAGGUGGGCAGAUCCCCUGAGCUCAGGAGUCCAACCUGGGCAACAUGGUGAAACCCCUGUCUCUACAAAAAAUAAAAAAAUGAGUCCAGUGUGGUGGUGUGCACCUGUGGUCCCAGCUACUCUGGAGGCUGAGGUGGGAAGACCACCUAAGCCCCAGGAGGUCGAGGCUGCAGUGAGCCAUGAUUGCACCACUGCACUCCAGCCUGGGCAACAGAGUGAGAUCCAGUCUCAAAAAAAAAAAAUUCCCCCUUUCCUCAAUCCCCACCCCACCCCCCCACCACAUGCCUGUGACCCACUGAGGCUUGCAUACUCUGCAUUGCAAUUAUGUGUUAUUCUUGAUUAAAUUCAUUUAUUCUGG
ensembl:lncRNA MAN1B1-DT MAN1B1 divergent transcript